GGGGGGGGGGGGGGGCGGGGGGGGGGGGGGCGGGGCGGGCGGGAGGGCGCUGGGGUUGUGGGGUGCUCGAGUGGCGGACGGGUGAGUAACACGUGAGUAACCUGCCCUGGACGUUGGGAUAACUUCAGGAAGCUGGGGCUAAUACCGGAUAGGAGCUCCUGCUGCAUGGUGGGGGUUGGAACGUUUCGGCGGUUGGGGAUGGACUCGCGGCUUAUCAGCUUGUUGGUGGGGUAGUGGCUUACCCAGGCUUUGCCGGGUAGCCGGCCUGGGAGGGUGACCGGCCACAUUGGGACUGGGAUACGGCCCAGACUCCUACGGGAGGCAGCAGUGGGGAAUAUUGCACAAUGGGCGGAAGCCUGAUGCAGCAACGCCGCGUGCGGGAUGACGGCCUUCGGGUUGUAAACCGCUUUCGCCUGUGACGAAGCGUGAGUGACGGUAAUGGGUAAAGAAGCACCGGCUAACUACGUG
rnacentral:rRNA from 1 species